UGGCUCAGAUUGAACGCUGGCGGCAGGCUUAACACAUGCAAGUCGAACGGUAACAUAAAGAAGCUUGCUUCUUUGAUGACGAGUGGCGGACGGGUGAGUAAUGCUUGGGAAUCUAGCUUAUGGAGGGGGAUAACUACGGGAAACUGUAGCUAAUACCGCGUAAUAUCGAGAGAUUAAAGUGUGGGACCUUCGGGCCACAUGCCAUAGGAUGAGCCCAAGUGGGAUUAGGUAGUUGGUGAGGUAAAGGCUCACCAAGCCGACGAUCUCUAGCUGGUCUGAGAGGAUGACCAGCCACACUGGGACUGAGACACGGCCCAGACUCCUACGGGAGGCAGCAGUGGGGAAUAUUGCGCAAUGGGGGCAACCCUGACGCAGCCAUGCCGCGUGAAUGAAGAAAGCCUUCGGGUUGUAAAGUUCUUUCGGUAGCGAGGAAGGCAUUUAGUUUAAUAGACUAAGUGAUUGACGUUAACUACAGGAGAAGCACCGGCUAACUCGUGCCAGCAGCUGCGUAAUACGGAGGGUGCGAGCGUUAAUCGGAAUAACUGGACGUACAUGGCACGCAGCGUGUACUUAAGUGAGGUUGUGAAAGCCCCGGCUACCUGGAAUUGCAUUGCAAUACUGGGUCCGCUAGAGUACUUUCCGGAGGGUAGAAUUCCCACGUGUACGGGAAUGGCUAAAAUUGUGGAGGAAUCCGUAUGCCAGCAUCCCCUGGAAAUGUACUGAGCCUCUAUGCCGAAUGCGUGGGAGCCAAUCGGAACUAGAUAUCCCUG
rnacentral:rRNA from 1 species